UACAGAGGGUGCAAGCGUUAAUCGGAAUUACUGGGCGUAAAGCGUGCGUAGACGGUAGCGUAAGUCGGGUGUGAAAGCCCCGGGCUCAACCUGGGGAAUUGCAUUCGAGACUGCUCUGCUAGGGUGCGGAAGAGGGAAGCGGAAUUUCCGGUGUAGCGGUGAAAUGCGUAGAUAUCGGAAGGAACACCAGUGGCGAAAGCGGCUUCCUGGUCCAGCACCGACGUUCAGGCACGAAAGCGUGGGGAGCAAACAGG
rnacentral:rRNA from 1 species